rnacentral:sRNA from 1 species
GCCGGGCGUGGUGGCGGGCGCCUGUAGUCCCAGCUACUCGGAGGCUGAGGCGGGAGAAUGGCGUGAACCCAGGAGGUGGAGCUUGUAGUGAGCCGAGAUCGCGCCACUGCACUCCAGCCUGGGUGACAGAGCCAGACUCCGUCUCAA